GUAUUACUCCCUCCGUCCCAUAAUAUAAGAGAUUUUAGAGGGAUGUACUCAUAAGAGAUUUUAGAGAGAUGUGAGUACAUCCUUCUAAAAUCUCUUAUAUUAUGGGACGGAGGGAGUACUUC
rnacentral:pre_miRNA from 1 species